CGCAACGAGCGCAACCCCUGCCUCCUGUUGCUAACGAGUAAAGUCGAGCACUCUGGAGAGACUGCCGGUGAUAAACCGGAGGAAGGUGGGGAUGACGUCAAGUCCUCAUGGCCUUUAUGCCCCGGGCUACACACGUGCUACAAUGGCUGGUACAAAGGGUUGCAAAACCGCGAGGUGGAGCUAAUCCCAAAAAACCAGUCCCAGUUCGGAUUGCCCUUCGAGCCUCGACUGCAUGAAGUUGGAAUCGCUAGUAAUCGCGGAUCAGCACGCCGCGGUGAAUACGUUCCCG
rnacentral:rRNA from 1 species